UUAUUCAGUGCAUGUUAUUUUCAAUAUCUUGUAGGCACUAAAUUAAAAAGGAAAUUAUUCAACUCUCGUAACAUAGUAAAGACAUUAUCACGAGCAAGAUCUACUAAUACCGCUGCGGUAAAUCAGUUGAUCCAAGAAACUGUAGAUGGUGAAAAUUACAUUUUAGUUCAAGGAAAACAAAUAUUUAUAAUAUACGAUAUUCCUCACGUUAUAAAAAAUAUUCGUAAUGCAUUAUAUAAAUAUAAAAUAUCCAGUACGAACCAAAUAAAGUUGCAAGAUGGAUGCAUAUUGAAGCGGCAUAUAAAAUAGACAUCGCGGCGUUUUCAAGCCAUGAGGAAGAUAAGAGACAAAUUUUCAGUUCAACUGUUGCAGCUGAAAAUCUGCCGGCUGAAGCAGUAUCCACUGCAGAAUUUGUGCAUGGACAGUAUGUUUAAUUCAUUGAAUAGUCGGACUGUUAGACCCA